UGAAAGCAACGUUUAUUCACUCAAAGAGGGGCGCAAUACUCAAUCGGAGUCAUACAAGAGGUAGGGUUUGUGAUGGCCGAACCUCCGUUUGAAAUGAAACCGAACAUCGAUGAACCCGACAUUGCACAACCUAAUGUAGUUGAACCCGCAAAUAUUUUGGUUAACACUGCCAAUUAUUUUUUUAAGUGUGAAAAGUAUAAGGUCCGAGAUGAGAUGAUCGAAUGGUG